UACGGAGGAUCCAAGCGUUAUCCGGAAUCAUUGGGUUUAAAGGGUCCGUAGGCGGUUUAGUAAGUCAGUGGUGAAAGCCCAUCGCUCAACGGUGGAACGGCCAUUGAUACUGCAGGGCUUGAAUUAUUGGGAAGUAACUAGAAUAUGUAGUGUAGCGGUGAAAUGCUUAGAGAUUACAUGGAAUACCGAUUGCGAAGGCAGGUUACUAUCAAUUAAUUGACGCUGAUGGACGAAAGCGUGGGGAGCGAACAGG
rnacentral:rRNA from 1 species